AGAGUUUGAUCCUGGCUCAGGACGAACGCUGGCGGCGUGCCUAAUACAUGCAAGUCGAACGAACUCUGGUAUUGAUUGGUGCUUGCAUCAUGAUUUACAUUUGAGUGAGUGGCGAACUGGUGAGUAACACGUGGGAAACCUGCCCAGAAGCGGGGGAUAACACCUGGAAACAGAUGCUAAUACCGCAUAACAACUUGGAUCGCAUGGUCCGAGUUUGAAAGAUGGCUUCGGCUAUCACUUUUGGAUGGUCCCGCGGCGUAUUAGCUAGAUGGUGAGGUAACGGCUCACCAUGGCAAUGAUACGUAGCCGACCUGAGAGGGUAAUCGGCCACAUUGGGACUGAGACACGGCCCAAACUCCUACGGGAGGCAGCAGUAGGGAAUCUUCCACAAUGGACGAAAGUCUGAUGGAGCAACGCCGCGUGAGUGAAGAAGGGUUUCGGCUCGUAAAACUCUGUUGUUAAAGAAGAACAUAUCUGAGAGUAACUGUUCAGGUAUUGACGGUAUUUAACCAGAAAGCCAUGGCUAACUACGUGCCAGCAGCCGCGGUAAUACGUAGGUGGCAAGCGUUGUCCGGAUUUAUUGGGCGUAAAGCGAGCGCAGGCGGUUUUUUAAGUCUGAUGUGAAAGCCUUCGGCUCAACCGAAGAAGUGCAUCGGAAACUGGGAAACUUGAGUGCAGAAGAGGACAGUGGAACUCCAUGUGUAGCGGUGAAAUGCGUAGAUAUAUGGAAGAACACCAGUGGCGAAGGCGGCUGUCUGGUCUGUAACUGACGCUGAGGCUCGAAAGUAUGGGUAGCAAACAGGAUUAGAUACCCUGGUAGUCCAUACCGUAAACGAUGAAUGCUAAGUGUUGGAGGGUUUCCGCCCUUCAGUGCUGCAGCUAACGCAUUAAGCAUUCCGCCUGGGGAGUACGGCCGCAAGGCUGAAACUCAAAGGAAUUGACGGGGGCCCGCACAAGCGGUGGAGCAUGUGGUUUAAUUCGAAGCUACGCGAAGAACCUUACCAGGUCUUGACAUACUAUGCAAAUCUAAGAGAUUAGACGUUCCCUUCGGGGACAUGGAUACAGGUGGUGCAUGGUUGUCGUCAGCUCGUGUCGUGAGAUGUUGGGUUAAGUCCCGCAACGAGCGCAACCCUUAUUAUCAGUUGCCAGCAUUAAGUUGGGCACUCUGGUGAGACUGCCGGUGACAAACCGGAGGAAGGUGGGGAUGACGUCAAAUCAUCAUGCCCCUUAUGACCUGGGCUACACACGUGCUACAAUGGAUGGUACAACGAGUUGCGAACUCGCGAGAGUAAGCUAAUCUCUUAAAGCCAUUCUCAGUUCGGAUUGUAGGCUGCAACUCGCCUACAUGAAGUCGGAAUCGCUAGUAAUCGCGGAUCAGCAUGCCGCGGUGAAUACGUUCCCGGGCCUUGUACACACCGCCCGUCACACCAUGAGAGUUUGUAACACCCAAAGUCGGUGGGGUAACCUUUUAGGAACCAGCCGCCUAAGGUGGGACAGAUGAUUAGGGUGAAGUCGUAACAAGGUAGCCGUAGGAGAACCUGCGGCUGGAUCACCU
rnacentral:rRNA from 1 species